GACGAACGCUGGCGGCGUGCUUAACACAUGCAAGUCGAACGGUAAGGCCCUUCGGGGUACACGAGUGGCGAACGGGUGAGUAAUACGUGGGUGAUCUGCCCUGCACUUCGGGAUGAGCCUGGGAAACUGGGUCUAAUACCGGAUAGGACUCCGGACUGCAUGGUCUGGGGUGGAAAGCUUUUGCGGUGUGGGAUGGGCCCGCGGCCUAUCAGCUUGUUGGUGGGGUGAUGGCCUACCAAGGCGACGACGGGUAGCCGGCCUGAGAGGGUGACCGGCCACACUGGGACUGAGAUACGGCCCAGACUCCUACGGGAGGCAGCAGUGGGGAAUAUUGCACAAUGGGCGCAAGCCUGAUGCAGCGACGCCGCGUGAGGGAUGACGGCCUUCGGGUUGUAAACCUCUUUCAGCACAGACGAAGCGCAAGUGACGGUAUGUGCAGAAGGAGGACCGGCCAACUACGUGCCAGCCGCCGCCGUAA
rnacentral:rRNA from 1 species